UUUUUUUUUUAAAGAAUCAUGUGCUUUUUUUUAGUAGCUGAAUGAAUUGACAUUUUCUUCUUUGGAGAUGGCUGUUUGGAAUCAGACAUGUGUAUAUUACUUAAGCUCUUCAUCGGAUUUGUGUGUUUUUAUGAUCAAUGUCUGAUAUUGUGUUUUUCGUAGUGGUUGUUUAAAUUAAUUGCUUUUUUUUUUGUGAUGGCUGUUUGGAAUCAGACUUUUGCAUUUUUUUGUUUGUUUGUUUGUUGUUAUAUAGAAUUGACUUGAUUAUUUUUUGGCAGUUAAUAUUUGGAAUCUACUUGAUAACUUUUCUUUAUGACUGCUUGGAAUCGACUUUUGUGUUAUUUGUAGUGGCUGUCUGGAAUUAUGUUGUAUUAUUUUGUUAUGGCCUUUCAGAAUCAAACUUAUAUUUUAUUUUUUUUUAGGUUAUUUAGAUUUGAUUUAUUUAUUUUUUUUGCUUUAGCUAUUAUAAUCCAAAUUUGCUUUUUUGUGAUGACUUUUCAUAUUGACACUGGUUGAAUAAAAAUUUAAUUAUUUUUUUAUUUCACAUGAUGCAAGUUUACCUUUUAUUUUGCAGUAAUUAGAUUCAUUGUGAAGAUGUGUGCACUGGGCUGGAACAUUUCCAGAGAAAGCUGGACUAGCCAUGCAUCAGCAUACUAGCCAAGAUUGAUACCUCUCCACAAAUCAACAAAGACAUCAAUGAAGCUUUGUUAAAGCUAGUGACAAUUUACAUGUUUUCUUAUGUGGCUUAAUUAUAAUAAUGUCAAGAAAGCUAAUUAAAUAAGAACUAUACAUUU